AUUGAACGCUGGCGGCAGGCCUAACACAUGCAAGUCGAACGAGUGGCGGACGGGUGAGUAAUGUCUGGGAAACUGCCCGAUGGAGGGGGAUAACUACUGGAAACGGUAGCUAAUACCGCAUACCAUCGGAUGUGCCCAGAUGGGAUUAGCUUGUAGGUGAGGUAACGGCUCACCUAGGCGACGAUCCCUAGCUGGUCUGAGCGGAUGACCAGCCACACUGGAACGGAGACACGGGCCAGACUCCUACGGGAGGCAGCAGUGGGGAAUAUUGGACAAUGGGCGCAAGCCUGAUGCAGCAAUGCCGCGUGUAGGAAGAAGGCCUUCGGGUUGUAAAGUACGUUCAGCGGGGAGGCGGUACCCGAAGAAGAAGCACCGGCUAACUCCGUGCCAGCCGCCGCGGUAAUAC
rnacentral:rRNA from 1 species